ensembl:lncRNA
GUAAAGCUCAGGCCCACUGGAGCCCUUGCCUCCAAGCGAAGUGAUGCGCCCACCUUCCCAGGAUGCACCUGCCACACUGGGAGCCAGGGCGCAUGCUCAAACCCUACCCCUCAGCCAAUCCGCGUGGGGCACCGCCCCUUCCUUCUAAGAGCGGUGGAAGGCGGGAAAUCCGCUGCCGCCUCUCAGAGGGCUCUCCGCGGUCCGUGCUCUGCGCCGCGAGGCGCGCUCUCUGCACCGCCCCGCCCCCUCUUAGAGGGACUGUUUUGGGGUUUUUCUCUCUCACGCUUGCCUGGAGCGCCUCGAGUUGGGUGGUUCUGCGCGUGGGCGGCCCGCGCGCUGCCUCGUUUAUUCCGUGGGGUGAAUUCUGCCCUUUUCGGCACCGACACGGGGAGUCCGGGCCCCCCUAGCCUGCAUCACGGGGUGCAGGGGGUGGGGCCCAGUCGGGCAGCGCAGCCGAGGGUGAAAGCCCGCGUGGAGACAGACCUUGGUCCGGCGACGGAGAGGAGAGCGUGGACUCCGCGUGUGCUCAGGAGGUCGGGGCAGAGAACGUGGCUGCGGAGCGCUGCCGCGGUGCCUGGCUUGGAGGACAGCGGUGAUGCUGGACUGGUGACCCACCGUCAGGCAGGAUGGCCUCAGCUGAUUGUACCUACAAUUGUCCGUUUUCAAAGAAGCUCCCAUUCAUUGACAUCAUACAGAAGACCUUCAACAAUCAACCCAGCCUCUCCAACUUCAUGCAGAUUUUCUUCAAGAAUUCCUUUGAAGCCCCAGCAUUUUCAUGAACAGGAAGAGGCUGCAGUCUUCAGCACUGAGUUAAAGAGCAGUGCCUUUACUUUCGGAUGGGUGCUACUUGCUGACUUUCUGCUGAGGCAGAGGCUGGACCUCAAGCCAAGGUUACUUACUCCCUGUGCUGCUUAG